rnacentral:lncRNA from 1 species
UUCAAGAAUUUCACGGACUGCGACGGCAGCUUCAAGGAUUGCCUUUGCAAAGAUGUCAAAGGAAUGCUGAGUCUGUACGAAGCUUCAUUCCUUGGUUUUGAAGGAGAAACCCUCUUGGAUGAGGCCCUUGCAUUCACCAGCAUGCACCUAAAAAACCUCAGCUGCAGGUUACUUGAUACUCACGGCAGAAAUGUAUUAGAGCAAGUGAGUCAUGCAUUGGAGAUGCCAUUGCACCACAGAAUGCAAAGAUUAGAAGCUAGAUGGUAUAUUGAGGUAUAUAAUAAAAGGCAAGAUGCAAAUCAGAUGCUACUUGAAUUUGCCAAGCUAGAUUACGAUGUGGUGCAACAGACAUACCAAAGUGAUCUUAAAGACUUAUCAAGGUGAAAACAAUAUAUUCUAAUUUUAUCAGUUACAAAUUAACUUUAAGGACAGGAUCUAAUGAUAUGAUUCCAUUAAACAGAUGGUGGAAGGAUAUGGGGUUAGCAAAGAAGUUGUCCUUCAGCAGAGACAGAUUGAUGGAGUGCUUCUUUUGGUCAGUUGGUAUAGUGUCUGAACCUCAAUUCAGCAAUCUCAGAAAAGGGAUAACUAAAGUCAGUGUUCUAAUAUGCACAAUUGAUGAUGUGUAUGAUGUUUAUGGUACUCUGGAUGAACUAAAGUUAUUCACAUCUGUUGUUGAAAGGUAAUUGAUUAGUUUGAUAUUUACUUUAGUCUAGUUUCCUAAAAGGCAACAAAAGUAAACUAGCAAGUCAUAGACUCAUAGAACUAUGUGUAUGUAACUAUGUAGUAAUCCCAAUUUGUGGAAUUUCAGAUGGGAUGUGAAUGCUGUGGAAAUUCUACAAGACUACCAGCUGAAGCUCUCUUUCCUUGCUCUCUUCAACACUGUGAAUGAAAUGGCAUAUGAAACUUUGAAAGACCAAGGAGUGGACGUCCUUCCUUACUUGACAAAAGCUGUACGUAUAUGCAAGCAUUCUAGUCCUUAACAACAUAGCUUUCGAGUAUCGUGAUUUUGCCAGAUUUUUCGGCAUUGGCCAUAUGUUGAUGAUAUAUAUGCACUCUCACAUCUUGCUUGCACUUUGUUUCUCAGUGGACUGAUAUGUGCAAAGCUUUCUUAACGGAGGCAGAGUGGCGUUACAACAAUUACACACCCACAUUUGAAGAAUAUAUUGCCAAUGCAUGGAUAUCAGUGUCCGGGGUGCUCCUAUUAGUGCAUACAUAUUUUCUACUGAAUCAAAAUAUCUCAGAUGAAGCACUUGAAUGCUUAGUGAAUCACCAUGAUCUCUUGCGCUGGCCGUCUCUUAUUUUUCGGCUCUCAAACGAUUUGGCUACUUCCGAGGUCUGUCUUCAAUUAAUUGCUCUUCAUUUCCAUCUUUGUUAUAUAUGUUUUCUCUAGCUUUUAACAUAUUGGUAAUGUUUUAUGCUGCAGGCAGAAAUAGAGAGAGGUGAAACUGCAACUUCAAUAUCCUGCAUCAAUCGUGGAAGUAGUGAUGUUUGUGAUCAGGCAUCUGCUCGCCAAUUCAUUAGGAAUUUGAUUGAGAAGAGUUGGAAGAAGAUGAACAAAGAUGGACUACUAAAUGGUGCCAGUGGUGCUUCUUCUCCAUUUACAAAGGAAUUUGUAGCAGCAGCAACAAACCUUGCUCGGAUUGCCCAAUGCAUAUACCAAUAUGGAGACGGGAUCAGUGCUCCGGACAAAAUAGCCAAGAACCGGAUCCUAGCAGUGCUUCUACAACCAGUACUUAAAGGGAAUAGAGCUCUGUAGAACCCAAACUUGUUUAGGUCCGAAACAAAGAAUCACGUAGCCUUGUCUUCGAAAUGAUGACAGCUUGCCUUGUCCUCCGGCGCCGGUCAUGGGAGUGAUUUAGUUCGUCAUUCUCUGUUUUUAUUUUUUUAGUUGUUGUAAUUCUAAAAAAUGAUGCUCAGUUGUGAAUAAACUCUCCCUAUUAAACGACGAAAGAACCUAAGCCACUUUUAUGACCGAAUAAAACAGUUUACCCAUUGAAGAAGCGAUUAUGACUGUCUCUGCAGCUAAAGGGUUAACAGACGGGUGAUGAAGUUGCUGCAGCCAAAGAACUAAAGAAGGGUAAAAUAGACAAUUAGCUCUUCCAUGGGCAAAUUCAAAAACAUAUACGUGUCUGUCCCGUUAGUCAAAUAUGCAAAAACGUUGAGUCAAAAAUGUCGUGUACGUACUUGUGCUUGCUAAUAUGAACAACGUUUGUACACGUACACGUUCUUAAGACCUGAUUCACGUGUUAAUACUGUUAUAUAUAAGGACGUGUAUGAAAGUGAUAAUAGUAUAGGAACCAAUUGGGAUACGGAAGUUUCCAAUAACUAGGGUUCGGAAGCUGCAUGUUCCUAUAUAUAUCAGGAUCCAUAUGCAAAGUUGCUCACACUGAACCGAAAUUGCAGCUUGUUGCCUAGUAGAGAGUAAUCCAAAGCCCCUUCGAAAUGCAUUCCCUAAGCUUGGCCAGGAGCGGUAGCACUGCUACUCAAGCUUCAUAUCUGGAUGUUCAAAGACGAACAGCAGAUUACAAGCCAAGCAUUUGGAGUUACGAGUUUCUUCGUUCUCUUCAGAUUGAUGACCGUAAUUAUGUAUGUACAAAUUUUACAUUAACUCAGUGCACACUGUGAUCAUCUUCAAUAUUACUCAGCUAAUUAACUAGUAUAUAUAUAUAUAUGCAUGCCUGAUUUUGAAGGAGGAACUAUACGAAGAUAAUAGGUGGAAGUCGAUGGAGGAGUAUGUGAAACAUAUGCUAGGCUAUGAUAAUGAUGCGCAGUCAGUAGAGACUACACUUGAAUUAAUUGAUGACAUCCAACGAUUAGGUUUGGGACACCGAUUCCAGGCCAGUAUAAUAGGAACCCUUCAUAGAAUUAUGAAGAAUCUUGACCAAGUAACAGAAGAGGAUACCCCAAGUCUCCACCUCACUGCUCUUAGCUUCAGGCUCCUUCGACAGCAUGGGUUUCAAGUCUCCCAAGGUAAGUAGCUAGGGAUUUCAUUCAACUAAUCAACAUGCAUCUACCAUAGAUGAAAUCUCAUAAGGUGAUAAUCAAGUUCAUACGUCAAUCCAUUCUAAUAACAUGCCUUUGUAUAUAUGUUACCCACCGCCACCAGAUGUCUUCAAGAUUUUCACGGACUGCUACGGCAACUUCAAGGAUUGCCUUUGCAAAGAUGUCAAAGGAAUGCUGAGUCUGUACGAAGCUUCAUUCCUUGGUUUUGAAGGAGAAACCCUCUUGGAUGAGGCCCUCGCAUUCACCAGCAUGCACCUAAAGAACCUCAGCUGCAGGUUACUUGAUACUCAAGACAUAGAUGUAUUAGAGCAAGUGAGUCA